rnacentral:rRNA from 1 species
UGGGGAAUUUUGGACAAUGGGCGAAAGCCUGAUCCAGCAAUGCCGCGUGUGUGAAGAAGGCCUUCGGGCUGUAAAGCACUUUUGUCCGGAAAGAAAUCCUUGGCUCUAAUACAGUCGGGGGAUGACGGUACCGGAAGAAUAAGCACCGGCUAACUACGUGCCAGCAGCCGCGGUAAUACGUAGGGUGCAAGCGUUAAUCGGAAUUACUGGGCGUAAAGCGUGCGCAGGCGGUUUGCUAAGACCGAUGUGAAAUCCCCGGGCUCAACCUGGGAACUGCAUUGGUGACUGGCAGGCUAGAGUAUGGCAGAGGGGGGUAGAAUUCCACGUGUAGCAGUGAAAUGCGUAGAGAUGUGGAGGAAUACCGAUGGCGAAGGCAGCCCCCUGGGCCAAUACUGACGCUCAUGCACGAAAGCGUGGGGAGCAAACAGGAUUAGAUACCCUGGUAGUCCACGCCCUAAACGAUGUCAACUAGUUGUUGGGGAUUCAUUUCCUUAGUAACGUAGCUAACGCGUGAAGUUGACCGCCU